rnacentral:rRNA from 1 species
AUUGAACGCUGGCGGUAUGCUUAACACAUGCAAGUCGAACGGCAGCGUGGUCUAGCUUGCUAGACUGAUGGCGAGUGGCGGACGGGUGAGUAACGCGUAGGAAUAUGCCUUGAAGAGUGGGACAACUUGGGGAAACUCAAGCUAAUACCGCAUGUACUCGAGAGAGUAAAGCUGGGGACCUUUAGGCCUGGCGUUUUAAGAUUAGCAUGCGUCCGAUUAGCUAGUUGGUAGGGUAAAGGCCUACCAAGGCGACGAUCGGUAGCUGGUCUGAGAGGAUGAUCAGCCAUACUGGAACUGAGAGACGGUCCAGACUCCUACGGGAGGCAGCAGUGGGGAAUAUUGGACAAUGGGGGGAACCCUGAUCCAGCAAUGCCGCGUGUGUGAAGAAGGCCUGAGGGUUGUAAAGCACUUUCAGUGGGGAGGAGGUUUGGAAGGUUAAGAGCUAUUCAAAUGGACGUUACCCACAGAAGAAGCACCGGCUAACUCCGUGCCAGCCGCCGCAGUAA